UACAGAGGGGGCAAGCGUUAUUCGGAAUUAUUGGGCGUAAAGGGCGCGUAGGCGGCUUGGCAAGUGGAUGGUGAAAUCCCUCGGCUUAACCGAGGAACUGCCGUCCAAACUGCUUAGCUUGAGACCGGGAGAGGUGAGUGGAAUUCCCAGUGUAGCGGUGAAAUGCGUAGAUAUUGGGAGGAACACCAGUGGCGAAGGCGGCUCACUGGACCGGUACUGACGCUGAUGCGCGAAAGCGUGGGGAGCGAACAGG
rnacentral:rRNA from 1 species